GAUGAAGAACGUAGCGAAAUGCGAUAAGUAAUGUGAAUUGCAGAAUUCAGUGAAUCAUCGAAUCUUUGAACGCACAUUGCGCCCCCUGGUAUUCCGGGGGGCAUGCCUGUCCGAGCGUCAUUACAACCCUCAAGCUCAGCUUGGUGUUGGGCCCCGCCGCCCCGGCGGGCCCUAAAGUCAGUGGCGGUGCCGUCCGGCUCCGAGCGUAGUAAUUCUUCUCGCUCUGGAGGUCCGGUCGUGUGCUCGCCAGCAACCCCCAAUUUUUUUCAGGUUGACCUCGGAUCAGGUAGGGAUACCCGCUGAACUUAAGCAUAUCAAUAGCUGAGGA
rnacentral:misc_RNA from 1 species